rnacentral:rRNA from 1 species
UACAGAGGGGGCAAGCGUUGUUCGGAAUUACUGGGCGUAAAGAGCUCGUAGGUGGUUUGUCGCGUUGUUCGUGAAAACUCACAGCUCAACUGUGGGCGUGCGGGCGAGACGGGCAGACUGGAGUACUGCAGGGGAGACUGGAAUUCCUGGUGUAGCGGUGGAAUGCGCAGAUAUCAGGAGGAACACCGGUGGCGAAGGCGGGUCUCUGGGCAGUAACUGACGCUGAGGAGCGAAAGCGUGGGGAGCGAACAGG